rnacentral:lncRNA from 1 species
UCGGUGUGAUAUGGGCGUGAAAGAAGACAUAAAACAGGCUUCCCGAGUAGAACCUGCCACCCCGGGCUGGUGGGGACGCGGCACCAGGCCGGGCCGGGGGAAGCCGCUCGGACAGUGGUCCUUGGAAUCUUCUUCCCUUCUGGUCUGACUAGGAAAGCCAGAGGGAGAUGGUGAAGGAGACACAGAGAGAGUAAAAGAACAGACCAUGCCCAGCCUCUCCACUGCAGGAGCUUGGAAUCAGUUCCUUUCUCAGGAACCUGACCAUCAGGCCUCCCAGAAAGUAUCGAGAAACUGAAACAUCUCAGAUCAUGGCAUCUGGACAAUGAGACACACCUGCUGCCUGUUGACCAACUCCCCUUGCUUACCCCUUCGUAACUCCCCACUAUGUAAACCCUUUAUUUUAGUUAGCUUAGACUUGUCUCCCAUCUCUCAGCUGACAUCAUCUGUAAUAAAGCCUUUGAUCCCUGGCAA